rnacentral:rRNA from 1 species
GAUGAACGCUAGCGGGAGGCCUAACACAUGCAAGCCGAGCGGUAUUGUUUCUUCGGAAAUGAGAGAGCGGCGUACGGGUGCGGAACACGUGUGCAACCUGCCUUUAUCUGGGGGAUAGCCUUUCGAAAGGAAGAUUAAUACUCCAUAAUAUAUUGAACGGCAUCGUUUAAUAUUGAAAGCUCCGGCGGAUAGAGAUGGGCACGCGCAAGAUUAGCUAGUUGGUGAGGUAACGGCUCACCAAGGCAAUGAUCUUUAGGGGGCCUGAGAGGGUGAUCCCCCACACUGGUACUGAGACACGGACCAGACUCCUACGGGAGGCAGCAGUGAGGAAUAUUGGUCAAUGGGUGCAAGCCUGAACCAGCCAUCCCGCGUGAAGGACGACUGCCCUAUGGGUUGUAAACUUCUUUUGUAUAGGGAUAAACCUUUCCACGUGUGGAAAGCUGAAGGUACUAUACGAAUAAGCACCGGCUAACUCCGUGCCAGCAGCCGCGGUAAGAC